GCCGGUUCAGCCGGAUGGACUGGUUUCCAGGGGAGCGGUUUACGCGUGGGACCCGACUGACCUACAUGACAGGUGAGAUGUUCAACACCCCGAGGACAAACGCACAGCGGGUCUGACAGACACCUCAGGUGAUGAUGAAGGUGUGACACAGUCCUUUAUACACUGUCACGAAAACCUCCACCCAGAACAAAACAUUCAACACUUCUCUCACAGCGCCGUACGAAUAAUCCCACAAGACAUCUCUUUAAUAUCUCAGUUAUUUCUCUUAGACAUCAAUGAGAUUAAAUGGAAAGCACGCGGAGAGCUGUUGCUUAAGUCUCAUAUGCGUCUCAGAUAUUUCUCCUGAGAGAAAGAGUCAGAAACUCCUCAUAAAACCGUGUGUAGAAAUUGUGUUUUAUGGAGAAAAGGAAGUCAUACGGUAUGUAUUUAGAGCGAUGUGCACGUGAGUAAAAUAUCAUAUCAUUUAUAUUUAUAGCUGAACUAUUUUAACCACAUCCUCAGUCUUAGUAUGUUUUAUAGAUGCUGGUGUCCUCAUCAAGCUACUUAAAGGGAUAGAUUCCCUAAACAUGAACAUUCUGUUAUCAAUUAUUCAUCCUCAUGUCCUGUAUGAGUUUCUUUCUUCUGCAGAACACACAUAUUUUGAACCCCACUGACUUCCAUUGUAUGAACAAAAAAACACGGAGACAUUUCUCAAAAUAUCUUCUUUUGUGUUCCACUGAAGAAAUACUCACAUACAGAUUUACAAACGAGAGAGAAUAAACGAUGACUGAUCUUCUGCAUCAUCAUGUUAGUUUGAGUGGUUUCUCUCAGAGGUCUCCGUCAGUCUGUCUUCACACCUCACUGAGAAUGCCGGAGGAGAAGAGGCGGUAAUGAGCUCCUCCGGGGGCCGUGCCAGGCCACAGCGCACACACGGAUGAAUGGCAGCUUUCAGCGGGACGCCAGCGGGGAGUUGGCACAACGGAAAGACCCUGAUCUCAAACAACAGCUCUCUGUCAACAGAGACACAACUCACAGAGAGAGAGAGAGGUGUUUGUUUACAGCGGAAAACAGACUCUCUGAGGGAUGGAGAUAAUGACCGGGGGUAUUCCAGAAAGCAGGGUUAACUUACCGUCAGCUAAACCCUGAACUCUCGGUUGAUUAACCCAAACCUUGCUUACUCGGGGUGUGUCGGUUCCAGAACCCGUUGAAGAGUAAGUUUAAUCAACCUCCAGAAAGAUACCCAGAGUAAACGCGCUCACAGAAACAACAUGAAAACAUUGUCAAUGGAUCACAGAUUUCACGAGUCACCAUGGAAACGGCCGGGAAGCUUAAAGUUUAUGACUGUAAAACAACGUUAUAAAUCAGAGUUUUUUUCACAGAAGACUUAAAUCUGCAUCAGCGUAUAAAGUACGGGAUUAAAAAAUCAUAAAAUUUAAUUAUUUAAGUUAUGUGUUUAUAAAACUAUAACUGUUAUAUAUUCAUUUGUUAUAUAUAUAAAUAUUUUAAAUAUAUGCACCAUUUUUAUACUAUAAUAUUUAAAAUAUAUACUCAUCAUGGCUCUUUGUUACAUAAACUGUAGAUUUGUUGAGAUGUUUGUAACUGUUAUUUUAACAUGUCUACCAUGGUAUUUUACCAAAAUUGUGUUGUGUAUAUGUAUUUCAUCACAUUGGUAAUUUUGAAGGCAGUAUUAAAUCUCUUUUUGUUCCUUCUCUGUAUGUUCCUUAAAAAAAUCUACCUUUAUUUGGUUUUCUGAAAACUCACUUUGCAUCGUUUCAGCUUUAUUUGCAAUAAUUGCUGAUGUAGUCAUAUUAAUGGAGACUAUUUUAAUUCUAAGUUUUUAUGUAUUUUUUUAUGUAAAUGGCUAUAAAAUUAUAAUAAGAAUGUAAAUAUGUGAACAGUAUGCCAAAGGGGGU